UGUAUAAAAGCAUGUGGCAAGGGCUUUGUUUCCCCACGGGCAAGCAGUCAAGCACACACCUGAACUGGAGCCCAAGCACGCUCCGAACGAAACCACCUCGAGGAGUCGAGCCGUCGAGGUCGUCGUUGCCUGGCAGAUCGAGUUGGACUAUAGAUACUCUUGAAGUUGAAGUAUGAUGUCUGUGGUCAGCUUGGUGUAUUCCCGUACGGCGAGCCGAUAGAUGACCGUAUUAAAUGCGAUUACGCAAACGAGGAGGGCACAUCAGGAGGUCCUGUUCUUAAGGGGGAUAGGGUUAUUGGGGUAAACACCAGCUAUUGUGGAGCGCGCCGAUUCGCCGUCUCUGUCAUGGGUGUACGCAACACAUUACGGAAGUGGCUUAAUAAGGGAGAUUUCCAACAGGGCUGGUGAAAACUGCAACGUCGGGAGGCAAAAUGAGAAGGCUCCGUGAGCGUGGUAGCUCACUAAUAAUGCAUGACCGAGGGCUUGUACUAGUUCAAGUUUAUACUACUAGUAGUAUAUGUUCAGUUCGAUUCCGGGUAUUUAGUAUUAUCAUUUUUGUAACCUGUGUGUUUUUAUUGGUACAUAGUAUUAUGAUGUAAUGCAGUAACGCAAGUCUUCAUUAUCAUCACUUUGUAGUUCUACUGCACUGUACUACUAGUAUGAUCAUCUUCUUUCCGCUACAUGCAUGCAUGUUGAGAGAACAUUACCUGGAAAAAAAA